GUACUUUCUUCGGUAGUGCACGUUUUAAAUUUGGAAUGAUACAGAGAAAUUAAACAUGGCCCCUGCGCAAAUACGUGAAGCGUUCCAUUAAAGCAACGAGCUAGU
rfam:Octopus bimaculoides Scaffold9836_contig_55, whole genome shotgun sequence.